AAUGAGAUGCUCAGAGCUGCUGGCUGGAAAGUAACCAUGAUAUGAUGAGAUGGGCUUUAAUUCGUGCGUCUUGAUUUCAGAGUUCAGCUCUUUCCCCGGGACCACACUGCCCAUCGGUGACACCCCAGGGCAGCCUAAUUUUGCCAUAAAUCUCUUUGGACGGAGACGUCUUCCGCGAAGGGGUGCUGGGAAACCUCACGUGGACUCAGCGACGUUUGCUUCCUUUUCCGGCUGACGUGUCAUCUGAGAACAAUGUCAAAAGUUGGUGUUUUUCUGGAAAAACUCUUGGAAAGUUGAAGAAACAGACCUAUGUGAGAAGAAAGAACUUUGGAAACAGGAGUCUCUGGCAUCGCCUUUCGGCGGGGUGGGGGUGGAGGGGUCAAGCCCAGACUUGCCUCCUCCCUCCAAGCCUGUUACUUUGGGGACUAUGAGGAAAGUCAACCACAGUUCUGGUUCAUCCAUCCACUUUGAGGCCCAGUGUGUUCGGGGCUCAGAUCUAACUCUGCUACCUACGGCCUGGAUGCCCUUUGGCAAGUUAUUUAAUUUCCUGAGCCUCAGUUUUGUCAUCUGUGAAUUGGGAGUAAUAAUAAAAACUACAGCAGCCUAA